rnacentral:rRNA from 1 species
AGGAAUAUUGGUCAAUGGGCGAGAGCCUGAACCAGCCAAGUAGCGUGCAGGAUGACGGCCCUAUGGGUUGUAAACUGCUUUUAUAAGGGAAUAAAGUUAGUCUCGUGAGACUUUUUGCAUGUACCUUAUGAAUAAGGACCGGCUAAUUCCGUGCCAGCAGCCGCGGUAAUACGGAAGGUCCGGGCGUUAUCCGGAUUUAUUGGGUUUAAAGGGAGCGUAGGCCGGAGAUUAAGCGUGUUGUGAAAUGUAGGCGCUCAACGUCUGCACUGCAGCGCGAACUGGUUUCCUUGAGUACGCACAAAGUGGGCGGAAUUCGUGGUGUAGCGGUGAAAUGCUUAGAUAUCACGAAGAACUCCGAUUGCGAAGGCAGCUCACUGGAGCGCAACUGACGCUGAAGCUCGAAAGUGCGGGUAUCGAACAGGAUUAGAUACCCUGGUAGUCCGCACGGUAAACGAUGGAUGCCCGCUGUUGGUCUGAACAGGUCAGCGGCCAAGCGAAAGCAUUAAGCAUCCCACCUGGGGAGUACGCCGGCAACGGUGAAACUCAAAGGAAUUGACGGGGGCCCGCACAAGCGGAGGAACAUGUGGUUUAAUUCGAUGAUACGCGAGGAACCUUACCCGGGCUUGAAUUGCAGAGGAAGGAUUUGGAGACAAUGACGCCCUUCGGGGCCUCUGUGAAGGUGCUGCAUGGUUGUCGUCAGCUCGUGCCGUGAGGUGUCGGCUUAAGUGCCAUAACGAGCGCAACCCCUCUCCUUAGUUGCCAUCAGGUUAAGCUGGGCACUCUGGGGACACUGCCACCGUAAGGUGUGAGGAAGGUGGGGAUGACGUCAAAUCAGCACGGCCCUUACGUCCGGGGCUACACACGUGUUACAAUGGCAGGUACAGAGAGACGGUCCCUUGCAAAAUGGAUCAAAUCCUUAAAGCCUGUCUCAGUUCGGACUGGGGUCUGCAACCCGACCCCACGAAGCUGGAUUCGCUAGUAAUCGCGCAUCAGCCAUGGCGCGGUGAAUACGUUCCCG